rnacentral:lncRNA from 1 species
UUGAAGCAGGAUACUCCGUCAAGAGCAGUAUAGUUAAUCAGUGUAAGUACAUGAGGAUACGAGUAGAGGUGGUGGAUGUACCGUUGCCACCUUACACGAGGCACAAAGUCAUUGCUAGCCUUGAUAGGGACGUUGUCUGUGUUGUUGAAAGUACCUCCUGUCUCAUUAUGACGGAACUAAAUUGUGUAUCCAUCUACAAAAAUCUGGUUUUAUUAAAUGCCACUUGAUAACAUCAGUAUCCUCCCAUACAAUUUUGUUGCUGUAGUUAAUACACAGACAACAUAUUUGCUUUGUCUCGUAAAUGCGAGCGUGCUUCUCUACUGCCUCGACAAACGUUGAUACCUCUGACAUGAAUGUAUGCGAAUGUCUCCGUAUGCCAUACAUCCACACUCUAUGAUCCAUAUUUAACUACCUAUGACAACAAUUCUAUGUUAUAUUAACUAAUUUAGAGCUAUGGGUGCAAUAAUUAAUAAGUACGAAAAAUCUAGAAUACUUAUGACAUUCCAAUGGAAGACCUCUCUCUCCC